UGAGUCGGCAGGGCGGCCGCGUCGGGCAGGCAACUGUCCGCCGAGGAAGGUCCGGACUCCACAGAGCGGGGUGGUGGGUAACGCCCACCCGGGGUAACCCGCGGGACAGUGCAACAGAAAGUAGACCGCCAGCGGCCGCACCGAUUCGUCGGUGAGGUGCGGGUAAGGGUGAAAGGGUGGUGUAAGAGACCACCAGCGUCUCGGGUGACCGAGGCGGCUAGGUAAACCCCACUUGGAGCAAGACCAAGAGGACCCGUUCGCGGGUCUGCGCCGACGUUCGAGGGCUGCUCGCCCGAGUCGGCGGGUAGGUUGCUCGAGCGCAUCGGCAACGAUGCGCCUAGAUAGAUGGCCGCCGGGUGCCCGUGCACCCACAGAAUCCGGCCUACAAGCUGGCUCAUCCG
rnacentral:RNase_P_RNA from 1 species